UAUGUUGAAACACCGGUUCUCGUACGAUUACCGAAGUUAAGAAACGUUGCCCCUGGUCACUACCUAGAUGGGUGACCGCUCGGGAAUACCAGGUUCUGU